rnacentral:rRNA from 1 species
GUCUGGCCUGCCCGCUGAGUUUGCUUGAAGGGCGGCGGUAUCUUGACCGUGCGAAGGUAGCAUAAUCAAUAGUCUCUUAAUUGGGGGCCGGAAUGAAGGGUCGGACGAAGGGUUGACUGUCUCUUUCGCGGGGCUCUAAGUUUACUUCCGGGUGAAAAGGCCCGGAUGCUUUUGGGGGACGAUAAGACCCUAUAAAACUUUACAGUUUAGCUUGUUUUUUUCAAAGUGUUGUUUAAAGUUGAUUGCGGGCGAGCUGUUGUAUUGGGGUGAUAUAGAUAUAAUUAGUAACUGUCAGCGGAAAAAAAUAAUGAUGAUUAGGUUGGUUGAUCCUUCUUUGUAGAUUAUAAGAUUAAGUUACUUUAGGGAUAACAGCGUAAUUUUCUUUGAGAGUUCUUAUCAACAAGAAUAGUUGCGACCUCGAUGUUGAAUUAAGGUUUCCCUUGGGUGCAGAAGCUCGAGCGGUGGGUCUGUUCGACCUU